rnacentral:rRNA from 1 species
UACGUAGGGUGCGAGCGUUGUCCGAAAUUACUGGGCGUAAAGAGCUCGUAGGUGGUUUGUCGCGUUGUUCGUGAAAACUCACAGCUCAACUGUGGGCGUGCGGGCGAUACGGGCAGACUGGAGUACUGCAGGGGAGACUGGAAUUCCUGGUGUAGCGGUGGAAUGCGCAGAUAUCAGGAGGAACACCGGUGGCGAAGGCGGGUCUCUGGGCAGUAACUGACGCUGAGGAGCGAAAGCGUGGGGAGCGAACAGG